rnacentral:rRNA from 1 species
UUUGACCUCAAAUCAGGUAGGAUUACCCGCUGAACUUAAGCAUACUGCGGA